GAGCUCAUUUUGGCAGCACAUAUACUAAAAGUGGAACUAUACAGAGAAGAUUAGCAUGGCCCCUGCACAAGGAUGACACCCAAAUUUGUGAAGCAGUUCAUAUUUUU